CAAAAUCAUAUUUCUUUGAUGUUUGUUUUGUGAAUCUUGCAAAUUUUUGGUCUUCCAUAAUUAGUAAAUAGGGACUCUGGUUAUGCUCUACGGCCAUGGAUAUUAACACCUAUCCUCAAUGCAGCUGUAGGAUCCCCAGAAGAACACUACACUGAUCUACACUGCCGUGUCAGAAAUACUGUGGAGUGGUGCAUUGGGGCCCUUAAAACACGCUGGAGAUGUUUGCUGGCACACCGUGUGCAGUAAAUGACUGUUGUGUACUACACAAUAUAGCAAAUGCACACAAUAUACCAGUGACGACAACUUGCCUGCUGCUGGUAACAUUCGGGUGCAGCAUAUUGGUAACGUGGCUUAUGGUGCUGCUGAUGCAGAUAGGGCGCAUGAGGGCCAACCUUGUCCAGAGGCUGUGAAUUUCAAGGAACUAAAAUAACCUGACUCUGAUAGGCUGAUUUUUGCUGUAUAUGUAUAAUUUAGUAAUAAAAAACACAAUUUAUAUUAAUGGCUUUUAUUUUUGAUUUUAAAUCACAUAACUUCCUUUCACAUUUUGCUUCUACCAGUCUUACUAUAAUCAUUAUUAAAAUAUUUUUUCUACUUUAACCUUGUUUAAGUUAUGAUUGCACAUUGCCACUUUACAUGUGAAUGCCCAUCAGAAUUUUUGACCAGUUUUUGUAACUCCAGACCCAAUUGAAUAUAAUUCAUAUAAUUGUAAUGCUGCACUGUCCCAUAGCCAACGUGCUGAUUGUAUGCCUAGUGGGCCGGGAGGGUACCGGCCAACAGCAAGCUCUUUAUGUCUUUCAACGAACUCCAACAAAAUGUCCAUUUGUCGAUCUGAGACUUUUCUUAAAGGCCCCAUCCUGGAAAUAAAAUACAAUAUUAAUGUCCUAUUCAAUCUUUUUUCUUGGCACAUGAUAUGCCUCACAAAAAUAUUACUAACAAGCACAACCUGCACAAAUGUGAAGAUUAUUUAAUGGCUCAGUGAUCAAUCUACUUUUAAUAACUGAGUUCCCAGUACCAAGCGUUAGAUCUCAAUCAUCGACUUAUAUUACUAGCGUAUCGUACUAGAAAUCAUUGAUCUCAAUGCUUUUAUUAAGAACAAUAAAUGUUAAUUUUUCACGACUUUGUAAAAAUUUCCCAUAUUUCGUUCGUGUGUAUGACUAAGUUUAAAAAUUUAAUAGUAAUACGUUUAUUAUGUACUUACCUUAGAUAUAAUGAACAAUUAAAACACAGGAUUCAGGUAAUUAUAAAAAAACACACACCAAAAUCAAUCUCUGUUUUGGAUGGUUCCUUGUAGUUUGUUUUGACAAUCAUUUGACAAUAGCUUCCAGUAUCGCCAUUUUUCUAAAUAAUGCGGCAAAUUAAAGAUUUGAUAAAUACAGUAGUCGUAGUUUGAAGUGAAAUGAAGUUUUCAUUUAGUCGGCUAACCAAAUCACAGAAUAUUUUCACAAAAAUUUUGCAACCUCUAGUGUAUCGAUAAAUCUCAUACCCACUAUUCGUUUAGUGAUCAUGACCGAGAUAGCCGAUGCCAAAAGAUGGUCAGCUGGGUGAUUUUCUAUCUCGGGUGUCAUGGACUCGCGAUUUCCAACCGUAUAAAUCUAUUAUGGGUUUCUGACCAUCUUUUGGCAUCGGCUAUCUCGGUCAUGAUCACUAAACGAAUAGUGCGUAUGAGAUUUAUCGAUACACUAGAGGUUGCAAAAUUUUUGUGAAAAUAUUCUGUGAUUUGGUUAGCCGACUAAAUGAAAACUUCAUUUCACUUCAAACUACGACUACUGUAUUUAUCAAAUCUUUAAUUUGCCGCAUUAUUUAGAAAAAUGGCGAUACUGGAAGCUAUUGUCAAAUGAUUGUCAAAACAAACUACAAGGAACCAUCCAAAACAGAGAUUGAUUUUGGUGUGUGUUUUUUUAUAAUUACCUGAAUCCUGUGUUUUAAUUGUUCAUCAUAUCUAAGGAUGGCGCCUUUAAGAAAAGUCUCAGAUCGACAAAUGGACAUUUUGUUGGAGUUCGUUGAAAGACAUAAAGAGCUUGCUGUUGGCCGGUACCCUCCCGGCCCACUAGGCAUACAAUCAAUCAGCACGUCGGCUAUGGGACAGUGCAGCAUUACAAUUAUAUGAAUUAUAUUCAAUUGGGUCUGGAAUUACAAAAACUGGUCAAAAAUUCUGAUGGGCAUUCACAUGUAAAGUGGCAAUGUGCAAUCAUAACUUAAACAAGGUUAAAGUAGAAAAAAUAUUUUAAUAAUGAUUAUAGUAAGACUGGUAGAAGCAAAAUGUGAUAGGAAGUUAUGUGAUUUAAAAUCAAAAAUAAAAGCCAUUAAUAUAAA